GACUCCGUGUGUUUCAGUCUGACUUUCGGACGUGAUGCGAAAGGGAGAAUGUGUCAGUUCUCGCCAGGUCUGAAUUUAUGAUGUUAUUCUUCAUGAUUAAAAGGCAAGAGUAGAUAAGGACUGCCUUGUGUCUGGACUGAUUUAUUCCACACGUGCUGCACUCUGCUUCUCACCGCUGUGUUUCGCUCUGCUACCGGCAAGAGAGAGAGGCCUGAGGAGGACUUUUGCAGGAAGCACGGAUAGCUUGCAGAGUUCCGCAACGGAAGCGUGCCGGGCUCCAUGUUCAGUCUCUGUGUACCCUCUUGUCCGGUGUAAAUAAUUCCAACAGGUUAUGGAAGCUCGCCAAAGCUUUGAAGCAUUGCAGGAACGUCCCACGUGUGGGGAAGCCAGCAGGAAAGUUGCUGGGGUCCAGCUGGAGCUCUGGAGCUGUGUCUUUGAAGCUGGAAGGAGCUCGCUGGGGAGAAGCGAUCUGCCGGAGCCGGGAGGCGGAGAAAGCUACUGCCGGGAGACGUGAGUAAGCUUAGCCCCCGGGGAGGAGAUGGCAGACGAUCGUGAAUCAUUCUCAGUUCCCUUUGAGAAAUUAAAUGGACAAAAUUGGGCCGAAUGGAGCCGGAAGCUAAAGGCCUGGCUGGUAGCCAAGGGGUUGUGGGAGGCGACCCAGGGGCCCCUCUCCCACCACCUGCAGCAGGAGCAGCAGCAGCGGACAUAGCGGCUGCUCACGCGUCGCAGAGGAAAACCAGAAAGCCCUGGGAGCUAUAGUGCUCAGUUUGGAGGGUUCCCAACUUCCUCUGGUUGAAGGGCUUGAGACUGCUCAGGAGGCCUACCAAGCCCUUGAGAGGGUGCACCACAGAACCACGGCUGGUGCAAAGAUCCACACCACCAGACGCUUAUUUGAGAUGAAGCUGCGUCCCGGUGGGAACAUCAGACAGCAUGUUACUGAGAUGCUUUCUGUUUUCAAUGAGUUGCGCCUGUUACAGGUCAACUUUUCAGAAGAGCUGAAGGUUUAUAUUUUGCUCAGCUCUCUGGACAAAAGUUAUGACAAUUUGUGUCUGUCUAUGGAAUCGAUGAGUCCACAGGAUUUGACGCUAUCGUACGUGACAGGGCGUCUUUCGGACGAACAGGAGAGGCGUGUCCGAGAAGGCAGGUCUGGCGCAGGCAGCUCCACCGGUUGCAGAGGUGGGGGCAAGCCAGAUGAGAGCUGUGUUCAGGCUUUUUCCACUCGUCGAUGUUAUGUCUGUGGAUCCAACAGCCAUCUAAAACGGGCUUGUCCGCAGAAGAGCAGAGAGGCCGGGCAGGAUGUCUCCAAGGUCAACCAGCUGAGUUCUCAUGGGAACCAGUCUCGGAGAGGAGGCCAGCGUGGGAACGCGAAGGAGGGACGUGACUCAGAGAAGGGAGACUGUUAUCAUCUCGCGGCUUCUCUGGCAACUUUGAACAACAAUGCCAGCAGGGACACAACUAUGAAGUGGGUGCUGGACUCAGGAGCGAGUCAUCACCUGAUAACGCCAUCUGCUGGGGAGCUGCAGAAUUGCAGGGCUGUUUUAACUGGAAUGACUUGUAAAUUUGCUGACGGGAAAAAACGAAAUGUAUCUAAAGUGGCAAAUGUCUAUAAUUCUGUUUUGCAGGCUGAGCUGGAGUGCUUCAUUGUACCAGGGAUGAAGUGUUGCCUGUUAUCGGUUUCUGCUCUGGCGAAGCAGGGAUACAAAAUUUGUUUUGAAAAUAACACCUGUUCCAUUUUCAGAGGGGGAGGCAACUUGUCAACGUGGAGAGCAAGGACAAUCUCUUUGUUCUGGAAACACCUCUGGAGGGUGGUGGGAAUGCAGGGAAAGCACAGGCGCAGUGUGCUAGUGUUCCCAGCCAUGAUUCAUGUGUUCAUGUAUGGCACAAGAGAAUGUCUCAUGCUUGUCUGGAGGAUGUUAAGAGGCUGCCAGGCUGCACCGAAGGAUGUAAAAUCACACCAUGUGAGAGAUCCCUAGUGUGCAGGGCAUGCAGCAAGGUUCAAAGGUGCAGGUUUCCCGGGGUAAAGAGGGUAACCACAAAACCUUUUGAGUUGAUUCACACAGAUCUGUCAGGACCCAUGAGGUGUGAGAGUCUGGGUGGGGCCAAGUAUGUGCUAUCGCUGACAGAUGACCACAGCCAGGUUGGCUGGUGUUUCUCUCUCAAAUCACAGGGGGAGGCGGCGCAACUGAUCCAGGAUUGGGUUGCGGAGGUGGAACGAAGGUUUUCCACCAGGGUGCAAGGGUUCAAGAGCGACCGAGGGUCACAGUUUACUGGGUCUGCUCUGGAGGAGUUUUUCAAGGAAAAAGGAAUACGUCACCACGUGACGGGUGCAAAGUCUCCUCAAGGGAGAGGCGUGGCACAGCACAGGAGUGAAACACUGGCUGAAGCUGUCAGAGUUUUGCUGGGUGACUCUGGGCUGCCUCAGAGCUUUUGGAGUGAAGCUUGGAAAGCUGCCAACUUUGUUUUUAACAGGUCCUACAAUCACGAUGUAGGUGACACACCGUAUUUUCUGUUGCACAAGAGGAAGCCACAGGUGCAUUUCUUCCGUUCGUUUGGUUCCAAGGCUUCAGUGCCAAUACCAACAGCGCAACGGAAGAAGGAUGGUCCUAGGUACCAGGACAUGAUCUUCUGUGGGUAUGAUCCUGCAACAAAUGGGUGGAAGUUUGCAUACCCAGAGGGUGAUCAGACCACGCUGCUGGUCAGCAAGCAUGCUGAGUUCUUUGAGCAGGAUGGUUGGUCACAGCCUAGGUAUGGUUCUGAUUUUCUCUCAGACUGCUUGUCCGAUUCUGAGGGGGAGGAAAAGGAGGAAGAAAGGGAGGAAGGAGAGGCAGAGGCGGAGCCUGUUGCUGAAGACCAGGUUGCUGAUGAUGGUCAAGCACAGGGGUGGGUUUCUCCACAGGUUAAGAGGGAACCCAAGAGUGAGCCUUCAUCUCCUGUUAGCCAAGUGCAGGAAGCCCGAAGACGCAGCAAGUCAGAGGGGAGUCUUCUGAGCUUGCUGGAGACACACUUGCUGACCCCAGUGGGUCAGGAGGAGCGCCUGAGGUUGUGCUCCGGCGGUCAACUCGGACCACAAAGGGGAUUCCACCGGAGAGGUUUCAGGUCACCAGUGCGUGGGUUGGUUUCGCACAGUGUGAUUCUGGGAGUGUGGAAGGGAUUCAACAAUUGCCUGGGAUGGAUGCCAGUGGGAGGCAAAAGGCAAUGGGAGGUGAGUUGAACUCAAAGAGGUCUGUAAAUAGGGGUUCACAGUUUCCCUCAGGAUUCGUGACGAGAGGGGUGUGAAUGGUUUCAGAACUCACAGAGUUAAAGAGUUCUGGUGACGUCUCUUUCCUGAGGCGUGGUUAGAAACACUUAAGGGAGGGGUUUGACUCCGUGUGUUUCAGUCUGACUUUCGGACGUGAUGCGAAAGGGAGAAUGUGUCAGUUCUCGCCAGGUCUGAAUUUAUGAUGUUAUUCUUCAUGAUUAAAAGGCAAGAGUAGAUAAGGACUGCCUUGUGUCUGGACUGAUUUAUUCCACACGUGCUGCACUCUGCUUCUCACCGCUGUGUUUCGCUCUGCUACCGGCAAGAGAGAGAGGCCUGAGGAGGACUUUUGCAGGAAGCACGGAUAGCUUGCAGAGUUCCGCAACGGAAGCGUGCCGGGCUCCAUGUUCAGUCUCUGUGUACCCUCUUGUCCGGUGUAAAUAAUUCCAACAAAAAGUAUCCUUUUUUGGGGGGGAGGGGACCUGACUGAUACUAUGAUUUGUUUUAUGAUAAUCAAAGUUAUCAAGAGAGCCAGCCCUUCAAAGAUAGGACUGCGUGGCUGAUCCUUUAAAGGUACUUUGCCUCUAGGUUCAGCUUUAAUCGUUUUCAUUCUGUGUUGCUCAAUUUGCCCUCAUAUGUUUCUCCUUUAGAUAACAUUACUUGUACAAAUUCCAACCUUAGCUGGAUUGGUAAGACUCAGAGGGUCUUUAUGGCAUUUCUUAUAUAACAGAUCUAGGGAUGGGCUAAUCUAUCAAUUUCAUUUCUCCCCGUUGCUCUUUUUCCCCCAAUCUUAAGUUUGUUAUUGACAUUCCCGCAUAAGGUUGUAAUUUUGUUUUGUUUUUUAAAAGCUCUUCAAUAAUUUUCAUCUGCAUUAUAGUGCGUGUUUCUCCUGAUCUACACAUUUUGAUAUGCAUUUUUUUGCAAGCAAUUUUCUGCCAUAUUUUGUAUGUUAUUCUCAACAAUAUAGUUUUAUUCUAUUAUAAUUAUUUAUCAUUUAUUGAGUUUAAAUCCUGCCCAAAGGAGGGCUUUUCCACUUAUAUACACAUUUUAUGUACAUAUUAUCUGAUUGGACUACUCCAUUGUAAAAGUUGGAGAGGUUCGCAUAUGGUUUCAGGAGGUGUGAAUUAGGUAGGUUUAUGUUCAAAUGCAAAUCAAAGCAAAAUUUUCCCUCAUUCCUAAACAGAGUUCAGCUUAACUUUUUGUGCGUUGCAUCUUUUCAGUGUGUGUUUCCCUGUCCUCAAGUCCCCUAAGCUGAAGAAAUAUGAAGAGCAAGUGGUGAUUGAAUAAAUAUCAAAGGUUGGUUUGUUGGGGAAUAAGGAAUAGCAUGGGGAGGUUGAAUUUGCUUCAGUUUGGUGCCUUGUCUAUGGCUGCAAGCAUUUGGGUAGAGGAGGCAAUUGGAGUUAGAACAGAAAACAGUCACAGUAGCACCCAAGUAAAUUAUGUCUACCCUCUUCUAUGUUUGGGUACAUAGUAGAAUGAGAAGUAAAAUCAAUUCCAAACACACAGACUCCACAUACUGGCAAUACUUGUUGCUGUUGAGAGCUAUCUUAUGAAUAUAAAUGUUUCCCUGAUAGAGAUGGCCCAUGCUCAUUUUGUGAUUGCAAAGUUCAGCUUAAGUGAUUUUGGAGCAAAGAGUUUCAAGAGUAGGGACAAUAUUGUUUAGCUUGUUAGUAAAACCCUGAAACAUUCAAAAGAAGAGAUCUUGACUCCAACUAUGCUUGAACAGCUUGAUAUUUGUUUUAUGCUUUUUUCAGAAUUGCAUCAUAGUAUGGCCAAGGCGUGCGCACACACACAGUGGCUCUCCCUGAAAAGAGAGAUGUUUUGGAAUAUUGCCUGUUCAUUUUCUGGAUGCAUGGAAGUUUUUAUAUAUAUAUGCUGGCAUUGUUCCUUUCCUAAACUAGCAAUAUUAAGCUACAUUUAGGUCAUGGUGUUUUUCUCCAAGUAGGAAUGGAAAUGGAUGUGGAACAGAACACCUAACUAUAUGCAUUUAUAAUGCUCUUGUGCACACAUUUCAUUGGAAAUUAGUCCCGCCAUGUUCAGUGGGGCUUACUGCCUGGUUAGUGUGUUCAGGACUGCAACCUUAGUUGGGAAACAGACUUCCUCUCUGUAUUUGCAUUGUUAGGGACAAAGAAACAUAGGAACAUAGUAAGCCCACAACUUAUGCAGCCCUGUAUAAGUAAACUUUUUAAGGUUUAAUGUUUUACUAUGUUUUUAUAUAUGAUGGAAGCCACCCAGCAGCUGGGGCAGCCCAGUUUGCUGGGAAGGGUACAAAUAAUUAUUAUCAUCAUCAUCAACAACAACUUUAUUCAGGGGUUACAUUCCAGUGAUUGUGCCUAAAGCCAACAUCACUUAUAGUCAAAACACAUUGGGUUCAAUGGCGGGUGAGAUUAUCAGUGUCUUUCCAAUCAUCCCCUUUCUUUCCCUUUUCUUUCUUUCCUCUUUCUUUCAAUAUUUUGCCCAGUGUGCAAAGCUGAGUGUGCACAAGUUAAAUGUGCAUAUAUUGUGGGCUUAGUGUAUUAAGUCAGACCAUUGGUCCAUGUAAAUAGCUCAUACCUGCCUACACCAGGAAUUUUGAACCUGUGGCCCUCUAGAUGUUUUUGGACUCCCAGCAGCCCCAGCCAGAUACAGUGGUACCUCGGGUUAAGUACUUAAUUCAUUCCGGAGGUCCGUACUUAACCUGAAACUGUUCUUUACCUGAAGCACCACUUUAGCUAAUGGGGCCUCCUGCUGCUGCCACGCCGCCGGAGCACGAUUUCAGUUCUCAUCCUGAAGCAAAGUUCUUAACCUGAAGCAUUAUUUCUGGGUUAGCGGAGUCUGUAACCUGUAGCGUAUGUAACCCGAGAUACCACUGUAUAGUUCAGCAAAUUCUGAAGAUUCUCCACUCACUAAACAUCAGAAAAAAAACUUUCUGACAGUAAGAGCUGUUCGACAGUGGAAUGGACUCCCUUGGGAGUCUACCUUCCCUGGAGGUUUUUAAGGUUUUAAAGCAAUGGUUGGAUGGCCAUCUGUCAUGGAUGCUUGAGCUGAGAUUCCUGCAUUGCAGGCGGUUGGACUAGAUGACCCCUGGGGUCCCUUCCAACUCUACAAUUCCAUGAACACAUAGAAUGGUUUGUCCUAGAAAAGCAGCAUCAAAGCCCUUCUCAACUAUGAAGAAGGAAACAAAUCACUACCUUUUGACCUAACCUACUAUGUACAUAUUGUUGUGCAGCUGGAAUAAGCUAAUCCUGAGAUCCUUGGAGGAAAUAUGAUGAAUAUGUAAUGACAAAUAAAAGAAAUAUGUUU
rnacentral:lncRNA from 1 species